rnacentral:rRNA from 1 species
AUUGAACGCUGGCGGCAGGCCUAACACACGCAAGUCGAACGGUAGCACAGAGAGCUUGCUCUCGGGUGACGAGUGGCGGACGGGUGAGUAAUGUCUGGGAAACUGCCCGAUGGAGGGGGAUAACUACUGGAAACGGUAGCUAAUACCGCAUAACGUCGCAAGACCAAAGUGGGGGACCUUCGGGCCUCACACCAUCGGAUGUGCCCAGAUGGGAUUAGCUAGUAGGUGGGGUAAUGGCUCACCUAGGCGGCGAUCCCUAGCUGGUCUGAGAGGAUGACCAGCCACACUGGAACUGAGACACGGUCCAGACUCCUACGGGAGGCAGCAGUGGGGAAUAUUGCACAAUGGGCGCAAGCCUGAUGCAGCCAUGCCGCGUGUAUGAAGAAGGCCUUCGGGUUGUAAAGUACUUUCAGCGGGGAGGAAGGCGGUGAAGUUAAUAGCUUCACCGAUUGACGUUACCCGCAGAAGAAGCACCGGCUAACUCCGUGCCAGCAGCCGCCGUAA